rnacentral:lncRNA from 10 species
CAAGAUGGAAGCAGGUCUUUUUGCCACCUAAUCUCAGAAGUGAGACUCCAUCACCUUUACUGUAUUCUAUUCACUAGACACGACUCAUUAGGUCCAACCCACACUUAAGCCUAGAAGGUUUGCAUUAGUUAUCUAUUGAGCAUAACAAUAUUACCAAAAACUUAGCAGCUUAAAACCACACACAUUGAUUAUUUCAUGGUUUCUGUGGGUUGUUGAGUUGGGCCAUUGCUGAGCUGUGCCUUCUGUUCAGGGUCUCGCAAAGCUGCAGUGAAGGUGUUGGCCACGGCUGUAUUCUCAUCUGAGGCUUGCCCGGGGAAGAGUCCAUGUCCAAGCUCAUGCAGGUUGCUGGC